rnacentral:rRNA from 1 species
GACGAACGCUGGCGGCGUGCUUAACACAUGCAAGUCGAACGGAAAAGAAAUGAUUAUGUGGGGUGAUAAAAAGGAGAAAAGGAAAGAAAAAAGUGAGAAACAAGCAAUUGACUUUGGAAUAACUUCAAGAAACUGGGGCUAAUACCGGAUAGGAGCUCCUGCUGCAUGGUGGGGGUUGGAAAGUUUCGGCGGUUGGGGAUGGACUCGCGGCUUAUCAGCUUGUUGGUGGGGUAGUGGCUUACCAAGGCUUUGACGGGUAGCCGGCCUGAGAGGGUGACCGGCCACAUUGGGACUGAGAUACGGCCCAGACUCCUACGGGAGGCAGCAGUGGGGAAUAUUGCACAAUGGGCGGAAGCCUGAUGCAGCAACGCCGCGUGCGGGAUGACGGCCUUCGGGUUGUGAACCGCUUUCGCCUGUGACGAAGCGUGAGUGACGGUAAUGGGUAAAGAAGCACCGGCUAACUACGUG